AGAGUUUGAUCCUGGCUCAGAAUCAACGCUGGCGGCGCGCUUAACACAUGCAAGUCGCACGAGAAAGCGGGAGCAAUCUCGCGAGUAAAGUGGCGUACGGGUGAGUAACACGUGGGUAAUCUACCCUUUAGUGGGGAAUAACCCCGGGAAACCGGGGCUAAUACCGCAUAAUCCCGAGAGGGGAAAGCCGAAAGGCGCUGAAGGAGGAGCCCGCGGCCGAUUACGCUGGUUGGUGGGGUAAGAGCCCACCAAGGCAAAGAUCGGUAGCCGGCCUGAGAGGGCACACGGCCACACUGGCACUGAAACACGGGCCAGACUCCUACGGGAGGCAGCAGUGGGGAAUCUUGCACAAUGGGGGAAACCCUGAUGCAGCGACGCCGCGUGAGCGAUGAAGCCCUUCGGGGUGUAAAGCUCUUUCGGCAGGGACGAAAGAUGACGGUACCUGCAGAAGCAGCUGCGGCUAACUACGUGCCAGCAGCCGCGGUAAUACGUAGGCAGCGAGCGUUGUUCGGAGUUACUGGGCGUAAAGGGUGCGUAGGCGGUCCUUUAAGUUUGGUGUGAAAUCUCCCGGCUCAACUGGGAGGGUGCGCCGGAUACUGAGGGACUAGAGUGCGGGAGAGGAAAGUGGAAUUCC
rnacentral:rRNA from 1 species